AUCCAACUGACGAGUCCGAAAUAGAACGAAGUGGCGUGAAUCCUGGAU
rnacentral:hammerhead_ribozyme from 1 species